GACGAACGCUGGCGGCGUGCUUAACACAUGCAAGUCGAACGGAAGGGCCCUGCUUUUGUGGGGUGCUCGAGUGGCGAACGGGUGAGUAACACGUGAGUAACCUGCCCUUGACUUUGGGAUAACUUCAGGAAACUGGGGCUAAUACCGGAUAGGAGCUCCUGCUGCAUGGUGGGGGUUGGAAAGUUUCGGCGGUUGGGGAUGGACUCGCGGCUUAUCAGCUUGUUGGUGGGGUAGCGGCUUACCAAGGCUUUGACGGGUAGCCGGCCUGAGAGGGUGACCGGCCACAUUGGGACUGAGAUACGGCCCAGACUCCUACGGGAGGCAGCAGUGGGGAAUAUUGCACAAUGGGCGGAAGCCUGAUGCAGCAACGCCGCGUGCGGGAUGACGGCCUUCGGGUUGUAAACCGCUUUCGCCUGUGACGAAGCGUGAGUGACGGUAAUGGGUAAAGAAGCACCAGCUAACUACGUG
rnacentral:rRNA from 1 species